rnacentral:rRNA from 1 species
UUGGAGGGCAAGUCUGGUGCCAGCAGCCGCGGUAAUUCCAGCUCCAAUAGCGUAUAUUAAAGUUGUUGCAGUUAAAAAGCUCGUAGUUGAAUUUCGGGGUUAGUAGGUUGGUCAUGCCACUGGUAUGUACUGGUCUCACUGAUUCCUCCUUCCUGAUGAGCCGUAAUGCCAUUAAUUUGGUGUUGCGAGGAAUCUGGACUGUUACUUUGAAAAAAUUAGAGUGUUUAGAGCAAGCUAACGCUUGAAUACAUUAGCAUGGAAUAAUGAAAUAGGACGUUCGAUCCUAUUUUGUUGGUUUCUAGGAAUGACGUAAUGAUUAAUAGGGAUAGUCGGGGGCAUUAGUAUUCAAUUGUCAGAGGUGAAAUUCUUGGAUUUAUUGAAGACUAACUACUGCGAAAGCAUUUGCCAAGGAUGUUUUCAUUAAUCAAGAACGAAAGUUAGGGGAUCGAAGACGAUCAGAUACCGUCGUAGUCUUAACCAUAAACUAUGCCGACUAGGGAUCGGAUGAUGUUAUUUUUAAUGACUCAUUCGGCGCCUUACGGGAAACCAAAGUGUUUGGGUUC